rnacentral:rRNA from 1 species
UACGUAGGGAGCAAGCGUUGUCCGGAAUCAUUGGGCGUAAAGCGCGUGUAGGCGGCUUGGUAAGUCUGCUCUGAAAGCCCGGGGCUCAACCCCGGGAGGCGGGUGGAUACUGCUGAGCUCGAGUCCGGAAGAGGCGAGUGGAAUUCCUGGUGUAGCGGUGAAAUGCGCAGAUAUCAGGAGGAACACCGAUGGCGAAGGCAGCUCGCUGGGACGGUACUGACGCUGAGACGCGAAAGCGUGGGGAGCAACAGGAUAG